CUACGCCACCAACCUCUCGCGCACAGACCUGCACUCCACGUGGCAGUACUACGAGCGCACGGUCACCGUGCCCAUGUACAGUUCGCAAACUCAAACCUACGGGGCCUCCAGACUCAUCCCCCGUUGAAUCAGCUGGAGCUGCUGAGGAACCUCAAGAGUAAAUCUGGACUUGCUUUCAGGAAGGAGCCCCCGCCGGAGCCGUCUCCAAGGUCAGUGCCCCUCGCCGCUGCCCUGGUGUCUGCCGUGUACACAACCGUCUGGUCUCUCUCCCACACGUUGGCACAACCUGUUGUGGAGACAUGAGGGCCUCGUGUGUGCUUCCGUGUGUGACCGUGUGACUGUGUCCAGACCCCCGCCUGGCGGUGAUGUGGGCCCUUAAAUCACUUUUCCUGCUCACCCCUCCCCAGUGAUUCGGUUUUACUUUGCAGCACUGUGGAUCCGGGCAGCUGGGUGGCUUCUCGGGGGGAUCCCCCACCCCGCCCACAAGUCUGGCCCCAGGGCUCUCGGAGGCAGGGGUUUCUGUUAGCGCACUCCCUCCAGCCGCAGGCACACAGCCUGAGCUCACAGCUGGCCUGAGUCGGGCCGGCCGGGGUGGAAGCUCCGAGUGGGCCUCUGGCCUUCCCUCCCGCUGUUCUGGUUCGGGAGUAUCUGGAGCACAUGCACAGACCAGGGGCCCCCUGUCCUCCGGGGAGGGUGGGACAUCCUCUCUGCCUCGCGCCCCUGGGUGGAGAUUCUGGCCAGCCUCCUCUCCCUGUUUGCCAAGGUCAAGGUGGGCCAAGGGUGCAGGUGCUCAGCCUGGUUCCCUCUCCCGGUCCCUGAGGUUCUGCGGGUCAGGCAGAUUGGAGACAGGACUCGUGUAAGGGGUGAAGGAUGGAGACAGAGAAAAUCAAGAUCAUUUCACAAGUGAAUUCUAUGUCUGCCGAGCCCCAGCCCCCCAUGCGUCACCCUGAGGAGGUCCCAGGCUUCUCUCGGCCCCAUCCACAUGUUGCAGAGUAAAUCU